GGAAGGUGUGCGGCGUGGGCCGCACCCCCGCUGCUAACGGGGGACAGUCUUCGGCUGGUGGUUCGACUCCACCUCCUUCCGC
rnacentral:tRNA from 1 species